rnacentral:rRNA from 1 species
GCGCAGGGUGAGGCGGACCCUAAGGCGAGGCCCCAGAGGCGUAGCCGAUGGACAGCCGGUCAAUAUUCCGGCCCCAUCUUGUAUCCGUUGAAGCAACCAGGGACCCUGGAACGAAGCGCGAGCGGUCUUGUGGAUUGACCGUUUAAGGGUGUAGGGAAACCGAGACCUGAAUACGAGGAGGCGGGGAAACCCAACUCCGAGUCGUGUAGAGUCAGCAGGCAAGAAAAGCUGGUUGUGGAGGGUGCGAGAUGUCCGUACCGCAAACCGACACAGGUGGGCUAGGCGAG